AUAAUGCAGUCGAACGCACAGCGAAAGGUGCUUGCACCUUUCAAGUGAGUGGCGAACGGGUGAGUAACACGUGGACAACCUGCCUCAAGGCUGGGGAUAACAUUUGGAAACAGAUGCUAAUACCGAAUAAAACUUAGUGUCGCAUGACACAAAGUUAAAAGGCGCUUCGGCGUCACCUAGAGAUGGAUCCGCGGUGCAUUAGUUAGUUGGUGGGGUAAAGGCCUACCAAGACAAUGAUGCAUAGCCGAGUUGAGAGACUGAUCGGCCACAUUGGGACUGAGACACGGCCCAAACUCCUACGGGAGGCUGCAGUAGGGAAUCUUCCACAAUGGGCGAAAGCCUGAUGGAGCAACGCCGCGUGUGUGAUGAAGGCUUUCGGGUCGUAAAGCACUGUUGUAUGGGAAGAACAGCUAGAAUAGGAAAUGAUUUUAGUUUGACGGUACCAUACCAGAAAGGGACGGCUAAAUACGUGCCAGCAGCCGCGGUAAUACGUAUGUCCCGAGCGUUAUCCGGAUUUAUUGGGCGUAAAGCGAGCGCAGACGGUUUAUUAAGUCUGAUGUGAAAGCCCGGAGCUCAACUCCGGAAUGGCAUUGGAAACUGGUUAACUUGAGUGCAGUAGAGGUAAGUGGAACUCCAUGUGUAGCGGUGGAAUGCGUAGAUAUAUGGAAGAACACCAGUGGCGAAGGCGGCUUACUGGACUGCAACUGACGUUGAGGCUCGAAAGUGUGGGUAGCAAACAGGAUUAGAUACCCUGGUAGUCCACACCGUAAACGAUGAACACUAGGUGUUA
rnacentral:rRNA from 1 species